AAAAUGGUUACGUACGGCUGUACGUUUCGUCACAUGUGGAAAUACUUCAGAAGAACAGUAAAGUUGUUGGUCAUGGUGAAGUUUGAGCUUCUUCAUUGCAUUCCAAAUGCGCUGUGCAGUGUGAUUUAUUGGAGACAGCUGGUGAAAGGUGUUGCUCUUGCAGGCUUCCUACCUGUACGAAAUGUAGCUUUUGUCACAUGCAGAAACACUUUAGAACAAUUUAAAGUUUCCAUGGCCAGUUUUAUGUUUGAGCUGUUUAUGGUGUUGCUGUUUGGAGUUCAGUGGUUUUGCAGUCAUUUUCCAGUUGAGAGGUGCACAGAGCUUGUGCAGGCUUGCAGUUGAACAUUAUACUUUAAUGUGUCAUUUGCCUAUGUUGGUGUCCAUGCAGUAUAUGCUUAUUUUAUCGGCAGAAUUUUGUCGAUAUGUCGACUAUUGCUACCUGUACCGCCGUUGAGUUGAUUUGUUUGCCGCGGUUCCUUAGACUUGAUCCACCGGUGAAACUAAGAAGACUUUUAAUGUGAGUUUUCUUUAGAAUUUCAAGAAGCCUUAAAUCGAUAUAAAAAAGUAAAAGACUGAAUUGCUUUCGUUUCGAGAUGCAUAAAAUGGAACUGUGUGGAAUGCCAAGCAAGGAAGGAUUCUGUACACAGGUUUUCGAGUCAUCAUCAAAUUCGUGAAAGUGUGGAUUAAAUUGAACUUGUCGUCACUUGCUAUUCGUAGUCUGUCAGCAGCUAUCAGUGAGUCAGUCCAGGUCAGUGACUGGGAGAGGUGGUGAACAACCAAAACCAACAAAUGCCGAAAGUUCUUUCCUGCAGCUGUUUACUUUUUUAAUGGCCCAAAUUAAUAUCUCCAAAAUAUAUGAAGAGUUCAACCUGCAGACGGGCCGGGCAGUUUGCAUGUCCUUCACGCUUGAAGGUCGCGG